rnacentral:rRNA from 2 species
UACCGGCGGCUCGAGUGGUGGCCGAUAUUAUUGAGUCUAAAGGGUCCGUAGCCGGCUUUGCAAGUCCCCUGGGAAAUCCAGCGGCUUAACCGUUGGGCUUUCAUGGGAUACUACAUUGCUUGGGACUGGGAGAGGUAGGAGGUACUCGGGGGGUAGGGGUGAAAUCCUGUAAUCCUCCGGGGACCACCGGUGGCGAAGGCGUCCUACCAGAACAGGUCCGACGGUGAGGGACGAAAGCUAGGGGCACGAACCGG